CCACGUCUGCUUUUCCCUUUAGGUCGUCUGUUGCCGGUUCUCAUUUCCUUGUGGUUUCAGUUUCUCGCACCUCUUUCUGUUUCAACCUCACUUCAAUUCCUACUUUAUCAUCAACGAUCUGCUCCAUCGAUUUGUACCAGUAGAUUAAUUGCUCAUGGAACGGAUUGUCGGCGGCAAGUACAAGCUCGGCCGGAAAAUUGGUAGUGGAUCCUUCGGCGAAAUCUAUCUCGCCACUCAUAUCGAUACUUUUGAGAUCGUUGCUGUUAAGAUCGAGAACAGUAAAACAAAACACCCGCAAUUGCUUUACGAAGCAAAGUUGUAUAAUAUUCUUCAAGGAGGCAGUGGUAUUCCUAGCAUAAAAUGGUCUGGUGUUGAUGGGGACGACAAUGUACUGGUCCUUGAUUUGCUGGGGCCAAGCCUCGAGGACCUGUUUGUGUACUGUGGAAGGAAGUUCUCGCUCAAGACAGUUUUGAUGUUGGCUGAUCAAAUGAUUACGAGGAUAGAAUACGUCCACUCUAAAGGGUUUCUGCAUAGAGACAUCAAACCUGAUAACUUUCUCAUGGGUCUUGGUCGGAAAGCAAAUCAGGUUUACAUAAUUGAUUUUGGCCUUGCAAAAAGAUAUCGAGAUGCCACAACCAAUCGCCAUAUUCCUUACAGGGAGAAUAAAAACUUGACAGGAACUGCACGUUAUGCCAGUUGCAAUACUCACCUUGGAAUUGAGCAGAGCCGGCGGGAUGAUUUGGAGUCACUUGGCUAUGUACUGUUAUAUUUUCUGAGAGGAAGCCUUCCAUGGCAGGGUUUGAAAGCUGCCACAAAGAAGCAGAAAUACGACAAAAUUUGUGAAAAGAAAUUAUCAACCCCUAUUGAGGUUCUGUGCAAAUCUCAUCCAGUGGAGUUUGCAUCAUACCUACAUUACUGUCACUCACUCACAUUUGAUCAGCGACCUGAUUAUGGAUUCUUGAAGCGCCUGUUUCGAGAUCUGUUUGCCCGCGAAGGAUAUGAAUUUGACUACGUAUUUGAUUGGACCAUCAUAAAAUAUCAGCAGGCACAAAAGAGUAGAAGUCAGCCUCGUCUAUCUCCGGUUCCUGGAGCAAGUAGCAGUCAUGUAGUGCCAACAGAUAUGGAGAACCAUCAAGGAAGCAGUAGUGCUCCCUAUUCCUCUGACAUCAUGCGAUCUAAUGGUCCUGGUGUACACAUGCAAUUCAAAUCAGCAGUUGGCAAGAAUUUGAGCUCUGAUAAUCAUGGUUAUAAGAAUAUUGUAACCGAUGCACACAUUCCCUCCACUUCAUUUUCACUUGCUGGUACCUCAAAAAGAAAUCCCCCAAAUCCUGUUUUGCCCACCGAAGCUGCAAAUUCUGGUCAAGGACACAGCAGCAAAAUUGGUCCUUCAAGUAGCUGGAUUUCAUCAUUGCAACGCAUUCAUUCUGCGAAGUGAUUAGCUUGCUACGAUCUGGUCAAGAAGAUUCUAGUGAUACAUCUAUUGGAGGCAGCAAAACCUACGGUGACUAGCGUCAUGCUUUCAGCGUUUAUCUGUUAAGAAGCUCCAGUGAUGCAUUUAAGGGGCUCCAAUGUGCUUUGCUCCUCUGUGAAAAGCGGCUCACAUAAUUUUUUUUUUCUUAAGGAUUCUUUUUCUCCUACAGCAUUGUUUGAUUGAACGAAUAUAACAGGGGGCUAUCAUGCAGGGAUGGCAUUUGAAGGUCAUAGUAUGUACAGUUCUGGAUUAUUAUAGCUGCUCAUUUAGGAAGACACUACCUAAAUGCCAACUGGGAACAAGGUGUUAAAAUGAUACUAGUUUUGGUGCCACUGUUUUAUGUGGAUUCAGUAUUCUGCAGGUUGCUUAUAUGCAAACAUAGUUGUGCUGCGUGCUUGAUUUAAAUGAGGGAUUGUGGAAUUGGUUAUUCUCUUAUGAAGUAGAAGUUAGCCUGUGUAUUAUAUUGCCAAUUUGCCAAGAACUUAAGAUUUGCUUGUCAAAUUUGCUGGAUGGAGGAUGAGUAGUGGGAUAUUCCUGCAUUUAUUUGGAUUAUUCAUUGGCAUACCAAGGAAAUUACUUGCCAUUGGUUGUUAUUCCGCAGAUAUUUCUUAUUUGUGUUUGGGAGGGAGGUUAUCUCCUGCUUGGACCAGUUGACAUUGUUCUUUGAAGAGGUCUUCAAGUACUAGUUUUUUCAGGGAAGUGAAAUUAUUGGACUUAAAAGUUCAGAAUGGAUGACAAUCUGGGAUUUCAUUCUGUUCUGUGGUUGAGAAGUUGCAUAUAUGCUUAUAGAAUUCUGUGGGGACUUUCAGGCAUCCCAUAUUGUUUGGUAUGAUGAUUAUUGGUUAGUCUGCAAUUGGAAUCCUUAGCUACUUGUUAUGAAUGAUAUGGUAGUGCAGUUAUUGAAGAUAACUUACGUGUGUAUCAGCAGUCUGACCUUACUUUUCAAUAUACUUCCAUGGAAUUCAAUUGUAGAUCUUCAAGCUAAUGUAUGGUUUAGCGUGAUGAUCUCUCUACAUGGAAACAUGAGCUGCUCUGUUAUGAAAUGUUAUGGUGGCACAGUUUUAAAGAUUUCAAACUUAUUGAUUAAUCAGUGCGUUGGCGCCAACCCUCUACAUGACGAUGUUAAGGGUGAGGAACCGCGAGGUCUGGGAUUUGUCCAUAUGAAACUCAUUACCAAUGGUUAAUGCGCUCCCAUGGUAAGGCUCCUAAUGAUAUACUGCAUCUCAUGUAUCCAUUCAAGUUACCCGGUACAGAUAAUUUUGAUUCACUUCUAUUUCCUUUGGAUCAGUUUCUUCUCCUUGUUGCUUGUUAUGUUACCCGCUAUGAUUCUCAGGUGAGUUUGAUAUGGUAGUCAGGAAACUAGAGAUUUGAAUUGAUUACUCAUUCAGGUGAAAAUUGAGUUAUUUCACGAAA